CCCAAGCUACCCAGAUUCAUACUGUUCAUGGGUUCUCAAAGCAAGAAUUCUGAAGUGGUUUGCCAUUCCCAUCAUCCAGGAUGAGAUGGUUGGAUGACAUCACCGACUUGAUGGACAUGAGUUUGAGCAAGCUCCGGGAGUUGGUGAAGGACAGGGAAGCCUGAUGUGCUGCAGUCCAUGGGGUUGCAGAGUCGGGUACAACUGAGUGACUGAACUAACUGACUGACCCAGAUUCAAUUCCUGGGCAGGGAACUAAGAUCUCUCUUUAGGACCGUUCACCGCUGUCUCUCUGAGAUCAAAAUCAUCAGUUUAGAUGGGUACUCAGAUAUUUCAGGUAAAAAACAAAAAACAGUCAACUUUUGAGUAUGCCACCUAAUAUCUGCCCUCACUAGAUACACCGUGUUCGGGCCUCAUCCUUCUGUUAGGUUUUUUUCGUCGCUAUGGGCAACUGGAUCAUGUAGCCCAAAUAUUAAGUGAAUUUCUUAACACAAAUGAUGCACUUUGGAGGUAACCUUUGAGGACUAAACAGAGAAGGACUAAGCUGGGUUAAUUCUGGGCAGAGAGAAGCACGUGUUUUGUGAAGCCAUUCCUGCCUUCUGGAAGGUGACCCUUUUAUUCCCGCUCUACUUUGCACCAAGAUUCCAAGAACCAGGUCUAAAAGGAGAAUGUGGAUUCUGGCUUCCAUGUUCAGGUGACUUUGAGUUUGGGAGAAGACCCAGAAAGAGCCAUGGGAAGUGCAGAAAGUGGGAACUGCUCCUGCUUACCUGGCCAGCUAAGAUGUCCUACUACGGUUAAGACCGAAAUCGCUCAGCAGCCACACGUUUCAAAUUGAGAUGUUUCUACAGAGCUAUGCUGAAGCCCAAUGAGGCACCGGCUUGCAUCUAGAAGUCACUUCUGCAUAUCCUGGGAACACAGAAAUGGUUGGCUGCCAGAGAAUUCCUGGGCCGCUUGGGAGCACUGACUCCCGUGAGGCAGAAGGAGGCCAGGGCAGCACAGAGAGCCGGCCUGUCUGUCCCAGAGAGAAAUGGAGUCCCCAGCCGGCUGGGGAAACUGCAUGCGAAGCUGCAGCUGCAGCUGGGACACUGACUGGAGCCCGAAGACCAAAAUUCUGGCUUUCCUGUAAUUUGUUUUGACACGAUCUCAGGGAAGAGCGCUGCAAGCAAGAGACGAACACUGAGGACAACAGGAACCCUCUGUCAAACCGACAGACGACGACGUGCCCAUUUCUUGCUGCAUAGGGCAUUCACCUCGCCGGGGCAUUCCGCGGAGACAUGGUUAACCCAGAUCAGACUGACACGUUGGCAGGCCUCUGCAGGGCCACCCUCAGACCUGGGCAAAAGAGGUCCCUGCUCUGGACUCGCCCCAUUAUGGGAACUCCCCUCCUCCUGCUAUACCCCUUCUCAUGGGGCCCUGAGUCCUGAGGACUGAAGGGAUGUGCCUACCCAGAGCCCUCUGUCCCUUUAGACCAUGCUCCAUAUUCUCAGCACGUUGGAAUCCCCUGUCAGUGUCCCUAGCUGUCUUCCAGCAGCUGUAACCUUCUUCCCCGGAUAACUCUUCACCAGAGUAGAUCAGACCCUGGUAGGUGCCCCCCUGGACCUGAGGGGGUGGCCCACGGAUGGCUUCUAUGGAGGAGGGGUGUGGGUGGACCGGUCUCGUAGGCUGGUUAUGUCCACCGCCAUCCACAUGAGGCCUCUGUGGAGGAGCCGGAGGAGGGAUGAGAAGAGAACUGGUUGCAGCCUCAGGGCUGUUUCUCCCUGUGCUGCCUUGCGCUAAUACGAAGUUCUGCAGCAUCGCAGGCCUUUAUAUUCAAACCCUAUCUUCCAGGUUGUGAGGAAGGUCCAUUUAUCAAGGCAAGACAAAAGAGCGUAUUUUGUCUAACACAGUUAACAUAUUUUAUAAGUUUGAUACCAGUAAAUCUUUAGCCAUAGGGUACGUGGCCUCUGUACUUUUGCUACAAGCCCUGCAAAUAUGAGAGGCAAACCUCCUCCACACACACAUUUUGUUUGAUCGGCAGAGGGUUUUAAAAACUGGAGGAAUUCAUGUAGAAAUUCUGAUUUGGGGCUUUUCUUGGAGAAUUGGAAGCUCUGGCCACACUGGCCCUGAAUUCCAGGGCAGCAUGGAAUGGUUUGCUGU
rnacentral:lncRNA from 1 species